UGAGCAAUCUGCCCUUCUCGUCGGAAUAAGCGUUGGAAACGACGUCUAAUGCCGAAUACGACCUCCUUUCGCAUGAUCGGAGGUGGAAAGCUCCGGCGGAGAAGGAUGAGCUCGCGGCCUAUCAGCUAGUUGGUGUGGGUAAUGGCCCACCAAGGCGACGACGGGUAGCCGGCCUGAGAGGGUGACCGGCCACACUGGGACUGAGACACGGCCCAGACUCCUACGGGAGGNAGCG
rnacentral:rRNA from 1 species